CAAAUUAAAGCUUAAUAGUAUUUCAUUUACAUUGAAAAGAUAUUGUAAUUUACAAUUAAUUUGG
rnacentral:tRNA from 1 species